rnacentral:lncRNA from 1 species
GCUGCGCUGAACUGCGGUGCGCUGCCCGCGGUGGUUAGCGAGCUGAAGAGAGCAGCGGUACGGGCUGUCCUUCCUUUCGAGGCUGACCCUUCAAGCAAAGGAGGAGGCAGAACUUCUGGCGGGCGGCGGCCCCGAGCCCCAGGCAGAGGCAAUCUGUUGGCCCUCUUCUUGCACCUGGGAAAGCCAUCCCUGCAUCCCAGACAGGAGAGUGUCUGGAUAAUCUGUUUAAGGAGAGAACAGAACAAGUUUUGGAGGAAUGCUGAAGCCCUCUGGACUACUCCAAAGACUUCACAGAGAGGACUAGUCAUAACAGCCAGUACUUUCCAAGCUUGUAAGGGAAGCUGGCAAUCAAUAUUCUGUCCGCAGUGGUGUUUUUCUCUGCAGAGCUGUUGA